rnacentral:tRNA from 1 species
GGCCGGUUAGCUCAGCUGGUUAGAGCGUGGUGCUAAUAACGCCAAGGUCGCUGGUUCAAUCCCCGUACUGGUGA